rnacentral:misc_RNA from 1 species
UCAAACUUGGUCAUUUAGAGGAAGUAAAAGUCGUAACAAGGUUUCCGUAGGUGAACCUGCGGAAGGAUCAUUAACGUGUAUCCGGCGGGCGUCGGCGCGCCCCGCUCUGGCCGCGAGGCCGUGCAGCGGGCGUCCGGACCCGCCGACCCUUUUCUCAAAACCCCACGUGCACAUUCACGGUGGAGGGCUCUCGCCGCCCCGCCUCUUUUCUGGUGGGGGGCUUGUCUGUCUGAAGCCGCUUUGCAAAAGAACACCCAGUGUCGAUCGUAUGUGAUGCGGCCUCCGUGUCGCCCAUUUGAAACAGUACAACUUUCAACAACGGAUCUCUUGGCUCUCGCAUCGAUGAAGAACGCAGC